AUAUACCACCUGCCCAAAUAAUAUAUAAGUGACCCAGUGUGUGUUCAGAUUUAUUACAGUGGAACUCAAAACACAUUACAGCUGGUUCGCCAGAUCAAGUGGGCUUUUCAAGACAGUGUGAAUGAGUUUUCAAGAAAUAUUCUAUCAGCAUCGCCUCUGAAAAAUCCUGCAAAUCUCAUAAGAAG
rnacentral:lncRNA from 11 species